rnacentral:rRNA from 1 species
UUUGGAAUCUUGCCCAAUGGGGGAAACCCUGAGGCAGCGACGCCGCGUGGAGGAUGAAGGAUCUAGGUCUGUAAACUCCUUUUAUCGGGAAAGACUUAGGACGGUACCCGAUGAAUAAGCUCCGGCUAACUACGUGCCAGCAGCCGCGGUAAGACGUAGGGAGCGAGCGUUGUCCGGAUUUACUGGGCGUAAAGGACGCGUAGGCGGUCCGUUAAGUGUGAAGUGAAAUCUCCAGGGCUCAACCCGGAAACUGCUUCGCAUACUGGCGGACUGGAGGGAUGCAGAGGUAAGUAGAAUUCCUGGUGUAGCGGUGAAAUGCGUUGAUAUCAGGAGGAAUACCGAUGGCGAAGGCAGCUUACUGGGCAUCAUCUGACGCUGAGGCGUGAAAGCGUGGGUAGCAAACAGG